ensembl:misc_RNA Metazoa_SRP Metazoan signal recognition particle RNA
GCCAGGCAUGGUGGCACGUGCCUGUAAUCCCAGCUACUCAGGAGGCUGAGGUGGGAGUAUCGCUUGAACCCAGGAGGUGGAGGUUACAGUGAGCUGAGAUUGAGCCACUGCACUUCAGCCUGAGUGACAAUGUGAGAUUCUGCCUCUU